GGGCUAAAACCCAUAGGAUGGUCCAUGGAUGCUCCAUGGUGUAUUUGUACCCAUGGAUCAUGGAAAUGAAAGGCCAUGUCAAUUAGGGUUUACAUGGUGUAACCCUAACUAUAUAAGCAUCUUAUUCUUGACCAAAAUUGGCCACUAGUGUGUGAAAUGAAAGGGCUAGCCGAUUUCAUGAGUUGUAGAAUUCUCUCAAGUUAUUCUAAGUGUUUUGGUGAUUGUGAUUCCAUUUGAGGCUUCCACACUAUUGGGGCUAGGCACUCAAGCUUCAUGAAGACUUUCUACAUCAAAGAGGUAUGUAUUCUAUCUUGUUACACUCAUUGUUUUGGUAUGCUAGAUUAGGAUAAUACCUUGGAUGUUCUUAUUUGCAUGUAUAAUAGAGAAAACAUAGAUCCAAGGUAUUUAGGGUUGCAUGUACACUUAGGAGUGUUAGAAUGCUCAAAACCCAACAGUGGUAUCAGAGCCUAGGCUUGUUUUCUUGUUAUACCUGCAAUAGAAGCUGAAAAAACGAAUUUGGUGCUGUCUGAUCAUCAGACUCGGCGAGUCCAUCAGAAGACUCGGCGAGUCCAUGCCUAAAAUGUGAUCAAUUCGAUCCAACUCGCCGAGUUGGUUCAUGCACUCGACGAGUUGGACCCCCAGACAGCAUAUUUUCGAGUUUUUUUGGCUAGAAAUGGACUAGGAACAUUACCCUAAGUUGUUUUUGAACUUAUAAACUUGUUUUUGAUGUGGUAAUGUUCAUGCUAAUCCAUUUUCAAAGAUAAUUGUCAAUAGAUUCAUGUUUUGUAUUAGUUUAAGGUUUAGACUAAUUACAUGAAAAAGUUUGAUUUGAAUUAUCUUGUUCUUAUGAGUUGCUUAGAUUAAUAGAAAUGUUAAUUGAAAUAGUUGUUUUCAAUCCAUUUUAAUCUAAGAGUUGAGUAUAAAAUGUGUUUGUGUAACUUGUCCUCAAGUUACAUGAAGAGUCACAUUAAAGACUCAUAAAACUCAUAAAAGUUGGCAAUGGUUACAAAAUGAAGAGUCUUGUGUCAUUGAAUAAUUUUUUUUGACUCCAUAACUUGUCCUCAAGUUAUGGAAGUUCAAGAGUCACUUCAUUAAAGAAAAAUAUGUAACCAUAAUUAAAUCCAUAAGUUAUAAAAUAAAGAAAAAGUUAGUUCUUUUAUUAGUUUAAAGUCUUCCAUAACUUGUCCUCAAGUUAUGGAACUUGAAGAGUUUUUGGAUUAAAACUACUUUAAACACAUAAGUUAUGGAAUUAAUUAGUUUUGAAUAGUUUCAAAACUUGCCCUCAAGUUUUGGAAUUUGAAAAGUUUUCACUUAUGAAUACUUUAAUUCCAAGUUAGCCCUUAGAAUUUUAAAAGUUAAAAUUCAACCCUUAUACUUUAUAAUAUUAUAAGUUAAUAAUAUAUAUAUGUAUAAGAGUAAAGUCAGUCUUACCGCUAGUACGCCUCAUUCACGAAGCCGGUCUAUAAGGUGGGUAUAAGGUUGUUGCCUAUAAAAUGGCAACUUAAUGGGUGUCCACUCUCACCCACCGCUUGCUUGACUGGUGGAGGGUCGUUAGCCGAACGGGUUUGACAGGACUAGAAUUCUCCCUUCAUUAAAAGUAUUAAUGAUAAUACUAAGUAACUAAACUCUUAAUAAUACCCAAUCUUAGUUACUUAGGAAAAAUGUGAAUAAGGUGCUAAUCCAUGAAAUUACACUUUACACUUUGUCUAAGUCGUUAGUGGAGCGUGUGUGGUUAACCGGCACACUAACUUGGACUUAACAAGGUAGGUAAAGGGUGACUUAAUAUUUAUCAUAGUAUCGAUGGAGCGUGUGUGGUUAACCGGCACAUCGAUUGAGGGGUAAUUUAUUAAGGGUACCAAGUGAUUUGCAUGGUUACUUCACACCUUGUUUUGUGAUCCUCGGCAUCCCAGUCACAAAACCUGAAGGGCACACUCGAGAUUGAAACAUGCCUUUGAAAAGUUCAAUGAAUCUCAAAGAUCUAGGAGUUUCAAAACCAAUUAAAACCUAAUAAUACAUUUCGUUUAUCUUGGUGGAAAUUGGUGAAUCGUCAUUCACCUACCUUCAAAUAUUUUAUAGCUUGGAUUACGGCAUACCUCUUCUAAGUUAUAAAAUAGUUUGUUGGGUCCUAGCCUUAAUAUUUCAUAUUGGGUGUCAUAUUAAGGACUUUAAAUCAACUAUCUUGAAUAUCUCCCAAAAGAUGUCUGGUUUAGACACCUAUGAUCUUCCCAAAUCUCUUGAAACAAGGUUUCCUAAUGAAGAUGAUGUCCCAUGGAUAUCAUACUUCUUCACCUCUUCAAAUUAUUCUCCCUAACCCACAAGUUCUUGAAAAGUUUAAGGUCACUCAGGCCCUAUUGGCAAGGCAAGGUCUAGGUGUGGUCACAUCUUGGAGAUGUAGUCACAUAUUGACAAGCCGGGAGAGUUGGGUGUCAAAGUCUUGAGAAAGUUGGUGGUUCAACCACUUUCUAAGUCACAUAGUGAGUUCCUUUGGGACACCUAUGAAACAGACUAUGACAAGACCCUUAAUGAUCUUAUCUAUUUGCUAAGAUCAACUUCCUAAAACUUUAUGGACAUUGACAAUGAUGACAUUGGAUAUCCAGUAAAGCAUUCUCUUCCCAAUGGAAAGGGAUCGGCCAUAGUCAACUCGGUUGACCAAAUGGUAAAGAGAAAAGCUAAGUCUGUGAUAGUCUCGUGUACCAUUAUCAAAGGGUCCAUAUGUUUAUAUUGCCAAAGGAAGGGGCAUUGGUUGCGAAGCUGCCAAAUUUACCUAAGGAUGUUAAAGUCAAUAAGUUUGACUCUACUUCAGGUAAAGUCCACUAUCUAACUCUGUUAAGUUUCUAUUCUGAGAUUCUUGAUACAUGAUGUGACUGGGUCACAUGGUGAUGUUUUAAGAAUCAAAGAAAAGUGAAGAAACUUAAAGAAAGAAUAUGCUGAAUCUGAUGGCGUAGAUGGAUUUCUAUCGCAUAGUUUGAAGAUCGGAUUCUUGAGCUACUUCUUAGGAGUUAUGAGAUAUUGCUUAGGAAUAGAUAACAACAAGUUUUCAUAUGGAUUGUAAGGAUAAGUUUUUCCGCAAAGUUUUAAAAUAAAAGAAAAUUUUUUUUUUUUUUUAUUUUAAAAUAUCCUUACAAUGGCAUUUGAGGAAAAAUUGUUGCUUAUAUGAUUCCAUUAAGAGCAAGAGUGGAAAUAUGAAAUUGAUUCUUUCAUUUGUGGUAAUGUCUAAAUUUACCAAAUAAGGAAAGAUUCUCAUCACCCAAGUUUCAAUUGGACCGGAACUUGGAAUCAUGCAAGUUGUAUAGCAUGAUGAAUGAGAACUUUCAAGUUUUGGAAAAUUAAGACUAAUUACUUGUUCACAUGGAUGUGUGAGUCAAGUAAAGGACUUAGGGAUCGAGUACACAUUCUUGUGCACUGAUUAAGUCCACCACUAAAGAUCGAUAAGAAGAAUCAAAUAAGGCAGAAGGAUAAAAGUUUCUCAAAUCUGAAAAGAUGGGAGAGUACUUUAGUAUCAGUUUUGUGAUCAUCUUAAUGAUUAAGAAACCAUAUCAAAAUUAGUUCUCUAAGGAAAUCUUAGUGCAUUCUUAUGACUAAGAAGAGGAACUUGAAUUGUUGAAAUGGUUAAAUCAAGAAGAUGAGUCAUACUUCGUUCCAAUACAAGUCUUAGAGUCAUACUCCAAGAUUGUCAUUUGAGUGACAUGUCUUAAAGAAGGUUUAAAACACUUGUCAAAUGUAAGAGUAAAAGUUUUCUACUCUUGUACAUUUGAAAUUGGUAAGUUGUGAUGUUUUGGAUAAAACAAAGACCAACUUAGGCCAAUUGGGUAAAGUGUUUUUCUUGAUUAGAAUCCGCACUAUCUCUUGGAUGUUUGACAAGGGAGUCUUAUAUGUCAAGAGGACAGUGGGAGUCUUAAAGGUCUUGAAAGUCUCAAGAAAUAAUCAAGAAUAAAACCUAAAGUUCUUCACUAGCACACGACUUGAGGUUUAUAACCUAUCGUGUUGACAUAUCUGUGCCCAUUCCAGUUAAAGUUGGCUUUGCAUAUGAGUUCUUAGAGUUCUCAGUUUGUUGCAUAACAACUUGGAAGCAAUGGCAGGCCCUUGAGCUGCCAGGUGGCAAGAAGUUAAGAUUGAGUUCAAUCCAUAUGGUUUUGGAUUUGUCAUUAUCUUUGUCUUGUGAUUAUGGUUUGACAAAUUCAUAUGGGUAGGAACUCAUACACCAUAUAAAUCUAAGUGUCAUAAGGUUUCUCUCCGAUUCAUGAAAAUGAUGGUGAGGAAACGCUUUCACUAAGUAGAUUUUACGAAGAUAUCAAUUGUGUUAUUUGCAUUUUCAAAAGUCGUUAGUGGAGCGCGUGUGGUUAACCGGCACACUAACAUGGACUUGUGAGAAAUGGCAAAUGCCUAAGCAAUUGAGACCAUGAUUACGGUAUCCCUUUUCAUGGUUCUUGAAAUUGCUUAGACACACAGGUGAGCUAUCUACGGAAAGGGUGUAUGAAUCUAAAUUUCAGACUGUCCAGCUGAUUUCUGAGUACAUGUCAAAGCUAGUGGGAGCAUAAGUGUUAUGCUAAUAAUCAUCAUGUUAGUGGGAGCAUGAUAAUUAUGAUAAGUAUUGCAAGUUAGCAAUGUUAAUUAUAGAAAACAAAAGUUUCAAUUGGGAAAAAGUUGUUUUGCUAUAAUUAAGGGAGAGGAAAUUAUGCUUCAUCUCAAAUCUAUAAGCUUAGAUCGUGAGGUUUUAAUCAUUUAGUCAAGGAUAUAUAUGAAUUUCAUGUUGGAAUGGCUCAACAUAAGGAAAUUCUGUAUAUGGGUCCAUUAUUUGCGUUCUAAAAUUCGAUUAUGAUUACGGCAUCCCUUUUCAUAAUCUGAAUUAUGAGAACUUGGCAAAUUGAAAUGGAAAUAUUAUAGCAAAAGACUGGUUUAGUCUUUAUGUAAGACAUCAUGAAUCGUGUCCCAUAUGCUUCGGAUAUAGGAUCGAUUACAUGUGCUAUAUUCAUCCGUUCUAAAAUUUUCCAAAUGCCUGGGGCAUUAAGAAGGGAAAAGGUUUAGAACUGGAUAUGACUAAAAGGAUUAAACAAUUGUCGAGGACAAUCUAAGGUUUACCAAAGAUUGGUUACUCAAGGACAAUUGGAAGUAUAGUGAUAAUUCUGGAAGGACCAUAUUGACAUAAUCUGUAAGGAGGCAACUCUUGUUCAGAAGUGAUAGUCAAAAUGGAAUCUGGAAAUGUUUCAAAGUUAGAAUUUUCAAUCUGUGUAAGAUUAAGGAAACUUAAUGCAAGAAGGAUAUUUCCAAGGAGUUGAUCUCCUUUGGAAUACUCUGUAAUGAUUGUUGCCAAGUCUUUGUGACUUUGUGCAUAAUCAUUACAAGAGGAUCAAUGCAUAUAAGUUUAGAAUCUAACAGAUUUCAGUAAAUGGCAUGAAUUUGGAAUUCUUGCAUUUGCAGUAAGGAUUUGGGAGUGUGAAAAGAGAAUCAUUGAAGUUAUGUUCAAUUGAUCUAGUUCACAAAGUAAAGAUCAUAGACAAACAUAGUAUGCAUACUUGGUGUGUGGCAUGACUAGUGUUUAAGAAAACAUAGUGUACAUGCUUGGAGCAUGGGACAACUAUUGUUUUAAAUUCAAGAAUAAAGUUGAUAGCUGAAACAGUAUACAAUGAAUAAUGUGUAAUCAUAUGGUGAUAAAUAAAAGGUGUUUUAUUUAUGUUCAAAGGGUUGAUACCAUAUUGGAUUCAAUUAUUAUUGUGUUUCAUUUUGCAUGUUUUGACUUCCCGAAUAAACUGGGUUAUUCUUCCGGAAUGACUAAGUUAUUCAAACCAUCCACAGUCGGUCAUAUGUUGGAAGUAGAUAUGAAUUAAGACUGUCAUGGGUUGGCUUGUAGAGGUCUAAGGUGUUGGACAAAGGGCUACAACACUCAUGAGUGCUCAUAAGUUCUGAGUAUUGGAUUCAACCCGCGCUCAUUGGAAUCACUUCAUGGAUUUUAUCACGAGUGAUCAUGAGACGAUAAUAUCUUAUAUUCUUCAAACCUAGAGAUAUGAGUUGUUACUAUGAGUUGAUAGUACAUUGAUUGCACGAAAACGCAUUUGGUAACUCGGUGCUAUAAAACGUGCCUUUGUGUAUGAUUCAACAAGUAGUAGAACAAGCCAUAUGAGUCGAAGUUUAUCCGUUCCUUUUACCUUCGGGAUAAAAGCGAUAUCUGUGGGCCCCUCGAUGAUUUGAUGAUGACAAAUGGAAGUGCUCGGCCGGGCCAGGACUGAUUUGAUUUGUUCAAUUAGUCAGUCGUCAUAAAUCGGAAAUCGGGAAACAACAAAUGGACAGAGAGAAUGAUUAUAAUCCAUGUCUCAGUCCAUAUGAUAUCUAGAAUGGAGGAAUAUAUGAUCCCUUAUCUAAUGGACAAGUCAUUGACAAAGGUCAGAGUUCAUCUACAAGGUCAGAGUUCGACAGAAGCUUUUGAGAGCUACGAUUGCCAGUUGGUUCCUGAAGUCAUACGCAAUAAUAGUUUUAGACUUAUCCAAGUGGGAGACUGUUGGAUUAAUGUCUAAGUCCAUAACUAUAAUUGGUAAGACUUGACCCGACCCGGCAUGGUCCAUUUGGGUUGCAAACCUUCAUGCACUUAGAUAGACUAUAAUGAGAGAAAUAAGACACUUAUGGUUAUUAAUAUAUUAUAAGUUCUAGUAUAUUAAUAAUAAGAAUAAUAAGAUUAUUUAAUUAGUGUUGAUCAAGAAUUAAUCUAGGAUUAAUUAAGUGAUCAAAAGAAGACUAAUUAAAUAUAUGGGUUGAUUGUGUAAAUCAUCCAUACUUGUAUAGUGGGCUAAUGCUCCAUGGAUAAUCAAGUUGGGCUAAAACCCAUAGGAUGGUCCAUGGAUGCUCCAUGGUGUAUUUGUACCCAUGGAUCCAAGGAAAUGGAAAGCCAUGACAAUUAAGAGUUUACCCUAAUUGUGUAACUAUAUAAGCAUCUUAUUAUUGAGGAAAAAUCGGCCACUAGUGAUAGUGAAGAAAGGGCUAGCCGAUUUUGAAGAGUGUAGAAUUCUCUCAAAUCAUUCCAAGUGUUUUGAUGAUUGUGAUUCCAUUUGAGGUGUCACACUUGGGGCACUAGGCACUCAAGCUUCAUGAAGACUUUCUACAUCAAAGAGGUAUGUAUUCUAUCUUGUUACACUCAUUGUUUUUGUAUGCUAGAUUAGGAUAAUACCUUGGAUGUUCUUAUUUGUAUGUAUAAUAGAGAAAACAUAGAUCCAAGGUAUUUAGGGUUGCAUGUACACUUAGGAGUGUUAGAAUGCUCGAAACCCAACAAUAUCUUCCUAGUGUAUUUUUAGUAUGGUGACUAC
rnacentral:lncRNA from 1 species